UACGGAGGGUGCAAGCGUUAUCCGGAUUCACUGGGUUUAAAGGGUGCGUAGGUGGGCAAGUAAGUCAGUGGUGAAAUCUCCGGGCUUAACCCGGAAACUGCCAUUGAUACUAUUUGUCUUGAAUACUGUGGAGGUCAGCGGAAUAUGUCAUGUAGCGGUGAAAUGCUUAGAUAUGACAUAGAACACCAAUUGCGAAGGCAGCUGGCUACACAAAUAUUGACAUGAGGCAACGAAAGCGUGGGGAUCAA
rnacentral:rRNA from 1 species